GCCCCUCUAGCUCAAUUGGUCAGAGCAGCGGACUCUUAAUCCGAAGGUUCUAGGUUCGAUUCCUAGGGGGGGCAUCA
rnacentral:tRNA from 1 species